rnacentral:rRNA from 1 species
UACGUAGGGUGCGAGCGUUGUCCGGAAUUAUUGGGCGUAAAGAGCUUGUAGGCGGUUUGUCGCGUCUGCCGUGAAAAUCCGGGGCUCAACCCCGGACUUGCGGUGGGUACGGGCAGGCUAGAGUGUGGUAGGGGAGACUGGAAUUCCUGGUGUAGCGGUGAAAUGCGCAGAUAUCAGGAGGAACACCGAUGGCGAAGGCAGGUCUCUGGGCCACUACUGACGCUGAGAAGCGAAAGCGUGGGGAGCAAACAGG